rnacentral:rRNA from 1 species
AUUGAACGCUGGCGGCAUGCCUUACACAUGCAAGUCGAACGGCAGCACGGGUGCUUGCACCUGGUGGCGAGUGGCGAACGGGUGAGUAAUACAUCGGAACAUGUCCUGUAGUGGGGGAUAGCCCGGCGAAAGCCGGAUUAAUACCGCAUACGAUCUACGGAUGAAAGCGGGGGACCUUCGGGCCUCGCGCUAUAGGGUUGGCCGAUGGCUGAUUAGCUAGUUGGUGGGGUAAAGGCCUACCAAGGCGACGAUCAGUAGCUGGUCUGAGAGGACGAUCAGCCACACGGGGACUGAGACACGGACCAGACGCCUACGGGAGGCAGCAGUGGGGAAUGUUGGACAAUGGGCGAAAGCCUGAUCCAGCAAUGCCGCGUGUGUGAAGAAGACCUUCGGUGUGUAAAGCACUUUUGUCCGGAAAGAAAUGCUUGGCCCUAAUACGGUCGGGGGAUGACGGUACCGGAAGAAUAAGCACCGGCUAACUACGUG